CUUGGACACACAAAUGAAGUGUGGGUUCUCGGCAGCGCCCUGUGCACACUCGCCAGCUGACUUCGAAGGCCUCCGGACUUCUGCCAGGGAUGGGUGUGGGUGGUCGGCGGGGGCCUGGGUGGUGCCUCCUCGGGCGGGGGCGAUGAGGCCACCGCAGGGUGCGACACGGCCAUGGACAGCCGCCGGACUGAAGUCACAUCAAGGGAUAAGAAGUAAGAAAAAAUUCAACGUAAGAUCUAGAGAUGCCACUUCCCGCGGGAGCCAACCGAGUGCGAGCGGCUUCCGCGGGAGGCAGCCCGUCGUGCCCGGGCCACGUGACGUAUGUCGCCCAGGGGCCAAGUUAAACUGGGUAAUUGUCUACGCGGAAGGGGUCAGCGCUAACAAACGGAACAUAGUCUCUGUGUUCGAUCCGUAA
rnacentral:lncRNA from 1 species